UACGUAGGGGGCAAGCGUUGUCCGGAUUUAUUGGGCGUAAAGAGCGUGUAGGCGGUUUGGUAGGUCCGCUGUGAAAACUCGAGCUCAACCUCGAGACGCCGGUGGAAACCAUCAGACUAGAGUCCGGAAGAGGAGAGUGGAAUUCCUGGUGUAGCGGUGAAAUGCGCAGAUAUCAGGAGGAACACCAAUAGCGAAGGCAGCUCGCUGGACGUUACUGACACUGAGGCGCGAAAGACGUGGGGAGCGAACAGG
rnacentral:rRNA from 1 species